GGUUGGGAUGAAAGUGAGAGAAUGUCUUCUGCAAGAACAAUGGAUGGAGGGGCUGGUUCCUGUUAUGGGCCUGCAAGGUUGAAACCUCAAAGAUGGACCCUCACUCAAAAAACCAAGAAGAUGUGAUGCUGGGAUGCUGAUGGUGUGAGACAACUUUCAGGCAAGAAAAUAGCCACAAAGCACAAAAAA